rnacentral:rRNA from 1 species
GAACGCUAGCGACAGGCCUAACACAUGCAAGUCGAGGGGCAUCGGGGCGAGGAGCAAUCCUUGCCGCCGGCGACCGGCGCACGGGUGAGUAACGCGUAUGCGACCUGCCCGUUGCAGGGGGAUAAUCGGGAGAAAUCCCGUCUAAUACCGCGUAACGCCGCGGGGCUGCAUGGCCCUGCGGCCAAAGGGAGCGAUUCCGGCAACGGAUGGGCAUGCGUGACAUUAGCUAGUUGGCGGGGCAACGGCCCACCAAGGCGACGAUGUCUAGGGGUUCUGAGAGGAAGGUCCCCCACACUGGUACUGAGACACGGACCAGACUCCUACGGGAGGCAGCAGUGAGGAAUAUUGGUCAAUGGGCGCGAGCCUGAACCAGCCAAGUCGCGUGAGGGAUGACGGCCCUACGGGUUGUAAACCUCUUUUGUCGGGGAGCAAAUUCCGCCACGUGUGGCGGAGUCGAGAGUACCCGAAGAAAAAGCAUCGGCUAACUCCGUGCCAGCAGCCGCGGUAAUACGGAGGAUGCGAGCGUUAUCCGGAUUUAUUGGGUUUAAAGGGUGCGUAGGCGGACUGUCAAGUCAGCGGUAAAAUACGGGGGCUCAACCUCCGCCCGCCGUUGAAACUGACGGUCUUGAGUGGGCGAGAAGUAUGCGGAAUGCGUGGUGUAGCGGUGAAAUGCAUAGAUAUCACGCAGAACUCCGAUUGCGAAGGCAGCAUACCGGCGCCCAACUGACGCUGAAGCACGAAAGCGUGGGUAUCGAACAGGAUUAGAUACCCUGGUAGUCCACGCAGUAAACGAUGAAUACUAGCUGUCCGGGGCGAAUGAGCCCUGGGUGGCACAGCGAAAGCGUUAAGUAUUCCACCUGGGGAGUACGCCGGCAACGGUGAAACUCAAAGGAAUUGACGGGGGCCCGCACAAGCGGAGGAACAUGUGGUUUAAUUCGAUGAUACGCGAGGAACCUUACCCGGGCUCAAACGACACAGGAACGUACCUGAAAGGGUUCGGCUCUACGGAGCCUGUGUCGAGGUGCUGCAUGGUUGUCGUCAGCUCGUGCCGUGAGGUGUCGGCUUAAGUGCCAUAACAAGCGCAACCCCCAUCGACAGUUGCUAACAGGUUAGGCUGAGGACUCUGUCGAGACUGCCGGCGCAAGCUGCGAGGAAGGCGGGGAUGACGUCAAAUCAGCACGGCCCUUACGUCCGGGGCGACACACGUGUUACAAUGGCAGGUACAGCGGGAAGCCACCUGGCGACAGGGAGCGGAACCCGAAAGCCUGUCUCAGUUCGGAUUGGAGUCUGCAACCCGACUCCAUGAAGCUGGAUUCGCUAGUAAUCGCGCAUCAGCCACGGCGCGGUGAAUACGUUCCCGGGCCUUGUACACACCGCCCGUCAAGCCAUGGAAGCCGGGGGUGCCUGAAGUGCGCUACGGCGAGGAGCGCCCUAGGGUAAAACC